AAAGUUUUUUUCUUUUUCGUUAGGUUGUCUUUUUCUUGGCGAAGACAUUAGGGUCCGUUUGUUUUCAUGUAAGUGGAGUGAUGGAACUUAAGUUCCAUCACUUCCGUAUUUGUUUUGGUGUAAGUGAAAAGUAAAAUGUAACUCAAGUUACGUUAGAGAUCCACUUCACCUACUCUUGACUUCCUCCUCUAAAGUGCCGAACUCGACUUUCACCACACUCAAUCUCCUCUAAAAAAAUUAUUAAACAGUAAAACUUUAAAGUUUAGAUAUACUAUUCAACUUUUUAAUUUGUUUGACUUGAAUCAGUUGACGACACUUUAACUUUAAAGUUUAAUUUUACUUUCUACUUUAAUAAAUUUGUAUUGAAAAAUUACAUAAUAAAGUUAAAUUUUUGAAAGGUUGAGUAGUCGGCUCAAAAUGAUCAAUAGUUUAUAUAAGUAUGGUAUGUUUUUACGUAUUUUCUUUUUUUUUUUUUUU
rnacentral:lncRNA from 1 species